GCCCAACCGUAAACUUUAACUUACACCCGCAUCGCCUGGGGACUACGAGCAGAGCUUAAAACCCAAGGGACUUGACGGUACCCCACAUCCUCCUAGAGGAGCCUGUCCUAUAAUCGAUAACCCCCGUUUAACCUCACCAUUUUUAGCUUAUCAACCUGUAUACCUCCGUCGUCAGCUUACCACGUGAGCGACCAUUAGUAAGCUUAAUGCCUAUGCGCCAACACGUCAGGUCAAGGUGCAGUAAAUAAAAUGGGAAGAGAUGGGCUACACUCUCUAUGAUAGAGAAUACGGAAGACUAUUUAUGAAAUCUAGUCAAAAGGCGGAUUUAGUAGUAAACAGAGACAAGAGAGCUCUUUUUAACAUGGCACUGGGGUGUGUACACACCGCCCGUCACUCUCCUCGAAGCUAACAAAAAAGUUCAUAACACAUCCAGGCACUACAGAGGAGGCAAGUCGUAACAUGGUAAGUACACCGGAAGGUGUGCUUGGAAA
rnacentral:rRNA from 1 species